AUUUUUCUAUAAUUAGUAUUUUUGUUAAGUGUGUGAAAUUUAAUAUGAUGUUCUCAAUAUUUUUCGUCGCUGACUUUAAGUUAAUGAUGCCAAAUUUUUUCUGAUGCACGAACUUUCAAUAAAAUAAUAUUUGAUCUUUGUGAACUCUUAAUAAUGUUGACUUUUUUUGUUGCAGUAAGUUGGAUUUUUCCAUGGAUACACUACUUAAAUAGAAGAUUAUAUUAACGCUCAAUAUUAUGAAGAGUAGAGGGCACAAAAGAUUCUAAGAGCAAAGCCGACAAUGAUAGGCAUCAUGUAUAUAAUUUAAGUAAAUGGAUGUUUCUGUCUUAUCAAGAGAAAAUUCUACCUGCUAAAUACUUUUAAGUGGAUAAUGUCAUUUGUUCCUUAAUAUUGAAUGGCGAAAGUGCGUUGUCUUCAUGUUUCUAUGCAUUUAUAAGUACCAUAUACCCGCUAUUUCUUAAGACGGAGAACGUGAGAGAGGUGGACUCCCAAAAUAUAAAUCAGAUAAAGAGAUGCCAAUUUGACCGAAUUAUGUGAUAUAAAUUAGAUGUGCACACCAAUGAUUUAUGCCUGUUUUUAAUGGGAUCUUAAGGAAAUAAAGAACGACACAAAUUACUUCUGAUGAAUUUUCCUUGAUAGUGGUUUGCUAAUUGUUAGCAUCGAUUAAACGACAGUUGGGUAUGUCACCCUCACCCCUCGGAUCAUGGAAAAAGUUUUAUGUUGUGACAGUAAAAUUGAGGUAUGUAAAUUUCGGGUCAAAGGUGGCCGCGUAACUCGCAUCGGGAUAAUACUUUGGAGUUCCGUUAGAUGAAUACUUUUAAUUAUAACUACUAAAUAAACCCAUUUUAUUGUAACAUAAAACUUCAAAUAAAAUAUAGGUAUAAAUAAAAUA